rnacentral:lncRNA from 1 species
AAUAUUAAUCAUAAUGGGAAAGAUCUGUGGUGACAGAAAACCCUUUUUAACACUUGCCUCAGGAUAUUACCCACUGUGAAAGGGCUUUCUAAACUCUUGUUCAAUUUACACUGAAAUAAUUCACUUUACUCAUGUUCUCAAGCUCAUGUUUGUAUAGUAGUGUUUGUUUUAAUAACAUAUCAGGGUUCAAAAAUGGUGGGUCAUCAUAGCAGUCAAUUUAAUGUAAAGAAAAUAUGAAAUGAAGAAUAUAUGAAAAAUAAUGAAAUUUCAAGCUUAAAUCUCUAAACAUUACUGUCUCUGAGAAUAUUACUUACUCUUUGAACCCUCUAUUAAACUCUGGUCUAUGAUGAUCUAGCAAUUGUUUUGAUUACUGCUACAAGUCCAUCAGAAUAAUAUAUAGUUAGCUGUGCUAAACUGUGUGUUUCUGUCAGGGUUGUGUCCUAACAGUUUGCUCUUUCCUAUAGAUUAUUCUUCAGUUUUUGGGUUUGGAAUAUUCACAUCUCACCCAUUUGCCAAAGGUGUGUGGAGUGAGCUGUUUCUCUGUGCAUGUUAAUCCUGGGUUAAUUUGUCAAGUGUCUUCUUUAAUCUGGUACAACUUGGGAGCCAUGAUUAGAGCCGUCUUCUAAUUCAUCACUUUUAUAUUUUUUCACAUUUCAUAGUACUAUCAUCUGACAUCCUUCCUACAAACUUACUUCCAGAUCUGAGAUGGAGCAUUGGAAGGAAAAGCCAGUUGUUCUAUUGUCUUGCCUGCAUCACAUCAUUGAUCUGCUUCCUACAGGCUCUGCGCUCCUACCUGCCUCUAAGGACAAUUUUUAUGACCCUACAUUUUCAAACUGGUUUCACACCUCUGAUGUAUACAUUACUCUUUCCUUUACCCCUAUUUUUUUUUUGACAUAAAAAUUUCUUCAGUCGUUUAUCUUUCACUCAUGCAGACAAUAGACUUUAAGGUUUUCUUCUGUCUCAGUUUUCCCCUUUGCCUCUGUCUUAUUUCUAACACAUGGAGUUAAUACUCUGCCAGGUAAACUCUUAGACAGUUUAAUAGAAACCUCCUUAGCUAAAUUUGACUUAACUUUCUUUCCAUUCAGUAUUUUGUCUUGUACAUUUUGUGAUGUACUGAAAUGUAUUAAAACCUUAUUUCUAAAUUUUACUUAUUAAAAUAAAAUCUUAAAUAUAUUUUAAUUAAGUUAAUGUAUUUUAAUUAUGUUUCCUAAGGAAUAUCCUGAGAAUGAUAGAUGGACAACACUUAUGACUGUCUCCUAAUGUUUUAAUUGUUAUAGUAUGCAAAACAUUCAGGCAGAGAAAAGCCCAGUUGUAAAAUCAAGGUUUCCAGACCAGGCUAUUUCUAUUCAUAGCACUGAAAAUGGGACAUGAUACUAGCUAUUUCUGAAAAGCCAUGCCAAGGUGAAUAAUUUAUGUGGGAAAAACUUUAAAGGCUUAAUUAUGUAAAUAUUAUUCAAGUAUUACAUUUUACAAGAGCACAUUUUUAUCUAUUUGUGGUUUAGCUUGGCAACAGAAAUUCAAAAGUCCGAUUUUUAAAAAGUACAAAAGCUAAGGAACAAAGAUUUUUAUGUAAAUUCUGUAUUGAAGGAAGAGAUUCAAACCCAAAGUUGUAGGUUCUUGUGUCUACAUAUUUUAACAUAGUUUACAACAUAUUGUUCUUAUAAAGAAAUAUGCUUGGAUUUUAGAAAAUUUUUUCAAGAGUUAUAUAUUUAGGCAUAUUCACCAUCAUAGUUAUUAAUAUUUUUCAAAUAUUAUUUGUGUGUGUUUGCAUGCAUGUGCAUCUAUAUGUGUAUGUGUGUGCAUGUGAACAUGCAGGCGUGUGUGUUUGUGUGUAUGUGUGUGUGCACACGUGUUCAUUGAAAGACAAUUUCAGGCAAUACCCAUUGCCAUCUUUUUUGAGAUGGUGUGUUUUGUUGUCUGCUACUUCAUGCACCAGGCUACCUGGCCUUCCAGGGGUUCUCUUGUCCCUCCCUCCAAUCUUCCUGGAGCAGCACUGAAUCACAAAUAUUUGCUACCACAUUCAGGUUUUUGUUGUUGUUAAAGUUGAAUUCCCUUUAAUAUAUAUUUUUCAAUAGUAAUCAUUAUUUGGAUUUUAUGUACUAGAUACAUAUUUGUGAUGAUCUGAUCAAUGCAUACUCUUAGCAAAUACCAAACAAAUGAGAGAUAUGUAUGACAGAAACUUAAAGUCUCUGAAGAAAGAAAUUGAGGAAGAUACCAGAAGAUAGAAAGAUCUCCCCUGCUCAUGAAUCAGUAGAAUUAAUAUAGAAAAAUAGCCUUCUUACUAAAAGCAAUCUACAUAUUCAAAUCCAUUCCCUUCAAAAUUCCAAAUCACUUUUUAUAGACCUUGUAAGAAAAAUUUUCAAUUUCACAUGGAAAAACAAAACUCAAGAUAGAUAAAACAAUCCUGUACAAUUAAAAACCUAGUGCUAUCAUCAUCCCUGAAUCAAGGUGUCUUACAGAGCAAUAAUAACAAAACCCACAUAGUAUUCACAUGAAAACAGACAUGUUGAUCAAUGGAAUCUGAUCAAAACCCAAAAGUAAACAUACAAACCUACUAACACUUGAUAUUUGAUAAAGAAG